rnacentral:rRNA from 1 species
AUUGAACGCUGGCGGCAGGCCUAACACAUGCAAGUCGAGCGAGCGGCGGACGGGUGAGUAAUGUAUGGGGACUGCCCGAUAGAGGGGGAUAACUACUGGAAACGGUGGCUAAUACCGCAUACUAUCGGAUAACCCAUAUGGGAUUAGCUAGUAGGUGGGGUAAAGGCUCACCUAGGCGACGAUCUCUAGCUGGUCUGAGAGGAUGAUCAGCCACACUGGGACUAAGACACGGCCAGUACUCCUAGGGGGGCAGUAGGGGGGAUUGUUGCACAUGGGGGGAAAGCCUGAUGCAGCCAUGCCGGGUGUAUGAAGAAGGCCUAAGGUUUGUAAAGUACUUUCAGCGGGGAGGCGUUACCCGCAGAAGAAGCACCGGCUAACUCCGUGCCAGCAGCCGCGGUAAUA